CUUGUGUUUACACUUGUACAGGAAAGGAGUUUGUCAGAGUUCGCUUUUUGGGUGACAAAUUAGAAAGGUUUAUACCAAAUCCUAAAGAAAUUAAAGUAAACCAACUUGCCAUGAAAAAUUUUGCAAAGUUGUAUGUGGGGCAACAAGUUACAGCCUACUGGUCAUCCACGGGAAGUUUCUUUGUUGCAGAAAUUAUCACUCCAGAUACACCAAAGAAAAAGAUAAUAAAUUUGUCUGACAGCAAAUUAACCCCCCAAAAAAGAAGAAAAUUGCCGUUUUAGACUGUUGUCAACAAAACACUACAGUGUCUUAUAAAAAUUUCGCUUCAAGUUUUGUUUUCAUUUUUCCAUUCUUCAAUGUGCUGUUUAAUAUUAAUAAUGUAAGUGUUUUAAUGAUC